GUAGGGAGCAAGCGUUGUCCGGAAUCAUUGGGCGUAAAGCGCGCGUAGGUGGCCCCGUAAGUCCGCUGUGAAAGUCAAAGGCUCAACCUUUGAAAGCCGGUGGAUACUGUGGGGCUAGAGUACGGAAGAGGCGAGUGGAAUUCCUGGUGUAGCGGUGGAAUGCGCAGAUAUCAGGAGGAACACCAAUAGCGAAGGCAGCUCGCUGGGACGUUACUGACACUGAGGCGCGAAAGCGUGGGGAGCGAACAGGAUUAGAUACCCUGGUAGUCCACGCCGUAAACGAUGGGUACUAGGUGUGGGAGGUGUCGACUCCUCCCGUGCCGUCGCUAACGCACUAAGUACCCCGCCUGGGGAGUACGGCCGCAAGGCUAAA
rnacentral:rRNA from 1 species